ACGACCUUACUUGAACAGGAUCUGUCCUACGGGCUAGUAGUACCCUUGUAUUCUUGAGAUCUAUGGAGGCAAGAACCUAAGUCUGGUGGAUGAACCAUGACCGCGUGAUUAGCGGCUCUCUGGUCCAUGUGACCUCUAGGGCUGUGGAGGAUAGUUCCAAGCUCUGGGCUUUGUCCUCUGUCCUCUGCCCUUACGGUCUGGUGGACG